CGGUGCAUUAGCUAGUUGGUAAGGUAACGGCCUACCAAGGCGACGAUGCAUAGCCGACCUGAGAGGGCGAACGGCCACAUUGGGACUGAGACACGGCCCAAACUCCUACGGGAGGCAGCAGUAGGGAAUUUUCGUCAAUGGGGGGAACCCUGAACGAGCAAUGCCGCGUGAGUGAAGACGGUCUUCGGAUUGUAAAGCUCUGUUGUGAGAGAAAAAGGAUAUAUAUAGGAAAUGAUAUGUAUUUGAUGGUAUCUCACCAGAAAGUCACGGCUAACUACGUGCCAGCAGCCGCGGUAAUACGUAGGUGGCGAGCGUUAUCCGGAAUGAUUGGGCGUAAAGGGUACGUAGGCGGCAUGAUAAGUCUGGAGUGAAAGGCUACAGCUCAACUGUAGUAUGCUCUGGAAACUGUCAAGCUAGAGUGCAGAAGAGGGCAAUGGAACUCCAUGUGUAGCGGUAAAAUGCGUAGAUAUAUGGAAGAACACCGGUGGCGAAGGCGGUUGCCUGGUCUGAAACUGACGCUGAAGUACGAAAGCGUGGGGAGCAAAUAGGAUUAGAUACCCUAGUAGUCCACGCCGUAAAAGAGGAGAACUAGGUGUUGGGGGAAUAACUCAGUGCC
rnacentral:rRNA from 1 species